GGAUGCAUGAGACACAACUUCUGCUCGGUCCUGACAGAUGUCAGGUUGUUGCCAGUAAUUUGUAGGCAGCAAUGAUAAGGUAGCUGUCACUGCUGGUCACUGGUACUUGCUGGCACCAUGAGAGGCACUUGGAUUAAGAACUCAUUUAAUCCUCAUGCAAUAAGAGGGAUUUACCUACAGGAAUUAAAGCAUUAGCAGGGUCCUGAGCGCAAGGAAAUGAACGCAUUCCAAUGUAUGACGGCAAGCCCAGGAUUGCAAAGAGAGUGAUUCAGAUGCAAGCCCAGGAUCGCGAAGAGAGUGAUUCAGAUGCCAUUACUGAACUAGUAGAACCUGCUUUUAAUGGCCAGAAGAUGUUCAUUUCCUGAGGCUCGGAAUGAAGGGCAUCCACUUGAGUACCUGUUCUCUCAACUCCGUCACAGGGCACGCACGAGCACAGCCCAACAGCCGCUUGUCCAGGAUGGGCGGAUGGUCAGGGACACUGGCGGUCACCUGAACCACAUGGGACUCUGAGCCAGAUAAACCCCCAGGGCUGCUGCCAAUGCUAAGAUGCUACGCUUUCCACGGCAUCACCUGAAGUGGACUCGCGCCGUCCCAUGCUGCAGCCACGAGCCACCUGUGACCCCAGGAACGCGGCUAGUCUGAAUCCCUGUGUCCUGGCUGAGAUACACUCCCGACCUCGAAGACUUAACACCAGAGAAAUCCUUUAAUUCCUGCAGCAGUUCCAUGUGGUGGCAAUCAUGCCCAUUUCACGAGGAAGAAGUCCAGGCGCAGAGUGAUAGAGGAACAUGCCCGUGGAGGCAGGCUCUGAGCCAAGAAGUCCAUCUCUGAACUUCCGUGCUCUUUCGUGUUGUAAGAAGACCACAGAUGGAGCAAGGCUGUAAGCUCCUGGAGUAUGAGAGGUGUGCCCUGGACCAUUCUUGGCCUCCCGGCCCUAGUGUCCAGUGAGGGUCUUGAAGGUGCUGUGAUGAUGACAGCAAGACAGGGGGAUCCAGGGAAGAACAUUAGCAGCAACUCAUACAUCUUGAACACUCAGCCCAGAGACUGCUGUCAGUUCCUCACCUGCGUCACCUGGAUUCAUCCCCACCACCAGCCCAUGAGGGAAGAGCUCUAUUGUCCGCGUCUCACAGAGAAGGGAAGCGAGACCCAGCAAGGUCUUUCUGGAAAACCCUGAAACCAUCAGGCCUGGUAUCUAAUGACACAAAGAGGGGUACGAAAAAAGCAGAGGGGAAGUUACCUCCAGGGCAGGAGCAUGGGGGCUGCAAGGCUUAGAGCCCCUGCAGCAGUCCCUGGCCAGUCCCUGUGGCGUCGGUGGCUGAAACCCGGCUUCCCCAUCCUCCAUCUGCUGCACCAAGCCUGUCUCACAACAAGGCUCCUGACUUUCCCAGAGGACAUUUCUAAACUGGUUCCUAGAGAGUUUUAAAUGAAACUCGCCUCUUCUCAAACCCCAAGCUGACGGGCCUGAUACUUCUCACUCAAGUAGCAUGGGAACAAAGACGAGACAGAGACAAAAGCUGGAAGGAAAGGCUAGCAUGAUGAAAAAACGAGAAAGUUUCCAAAAUGAAGAGUGGGCCCUUCAUGAGGCAAUGGUGUACAGCGCCUGGACUGGCCUUGAGAAAGGAGGCUCUGUCUGUGUUCACCCGAAAGCCACCCAGCAGGAGCUUUCUGCUCUGAGACCUCGGACACCUGAGGAUCCUUGGGCAAGGUCCUCCCAGGGCCUCGGUGACUUGAUGAUAGGAUCUAGGAGGUCUCCCUCCUCUACGGCCGUCACGAGGUUCCACUCCCACCCAGUUCGCAUCAACCCAGACAGUGCCACACAUCUGAGGACCAGAGAGUCUACUUACAGGGACAAUUAAAUACAGGCCUUUGUACCAAGGGUUCUGCUUGUUCCCUGAGGAAGCAGGCUCUUUGAAUCUUGGACCACAUUUUAAAUAAAUCUUCAGCAGAACUCAAAUCCACUUAGCAAAUGAUAGCUUAUUCUGAACAUUUUGGCCCAAAACAGGCUACGUAGGAAGAGGAUCUUAAAUCAAAGCUGUGUUCCAGUGACUACACAGAAAAACAGUUCCAAUUGCUGUUUUCCUUCCUUGUUGCCAUCGGAGGUGUAUGAUUUUCACUAACUCAUAUACAUGUGAAAAGCCGCUCCCAUAGUUUAGUUUGAGAGGAAGGCAGAUAGGGGGAACAUAUAAAGCAAAGGUGACGGGGGAAAGCUGACAGGUCACCAUUCUGAUUGAUAUAGCUAAAAAAAAAAAGGUUUUGGGUCACUCACAAUAUCGAAAUGCAGCAGAAUUCAAUCUUCACUACACUGCCAGUUAACUACAUAAGGCAGCCCAUAUUCAGGGGAAAACUCCUGUGUUCCUGAAGCUUAACUCCUAGAUUCAGAUCCCAGUACAUACAUUAGCACAUUUUAAUCAUUAACAGGAAGGACAAAGCCCCAUGAAACUCUUGCAGGCUGAGGCUGCAGAGCAUUUUCCCAUUCAAUUAGAGGAACAGCUUCCAGCCCUGUAUUAUUUUAGUUUAUGAAGCUGCUUGGCUCAAACAUCCACUGACAACUCUUUUUUGUUCUCAAUGAAUGCGCUUUUCAGGGUUUUUAAAAAAGCAUUU